ensembl:lncRNA
ACCAACAGACCCACCAACAGUUAAAGAUCUCAACAACAUUUCCACCUGUACAACAUUAACCUGAUUCAAUUCAAAACUACACAUUUUAUCUUUCAUAAUACACCUUUCAAUUAGCUCAUUUGAAUUGGAACCAACAGUGCAUUUCAUUGGCUCUCUAAAGUUAAAAACCUUAUUAACAAAAUAAUCAUUAAAAUAAUUUGCAAUCUGUAUUGGCUUAGUCAAAUAAACUCCAUCCAAUUCAACAAAGGAAGUGCAAGUAGAUUUUUUCCCCAUGAUUUCAUUGAGUACAUUCCACAUUCUCUUACUAUCUGUACCACUAUCGGCAAUUCUCUUCUGAAAAUAUUUUUUCUUUUUCACUCUAUUCUCCUUGGUCACCUGAUUCCUUAAAAUACGAUAAAAUGUUCUGUCCUCAAGAGAGUCCGAAAGUACCGCAACCUUUUUAGCCUCUUACCUUUGAGCCAUUAAGCUCCUUGGCCGAGCGUGAUGGUUAACAAUUCUCAUAAAACAAUCCAUAAAUAAAUCAAGGGAUGCAUCCACAUCAUUGAUUUCACUAAUCGAAUUCCAUUCAAUAUUAUCCAAAUUUAUUUAAAAAACUCUCCUCAUUAAAUACCCUAUAAGAUCUCUUCAUAAUUAUUUUAGGAAAGGCUCUAGGUAGCUUAGUUCUUCUGGAGACAGCAAUACAUUAUGUUAUGAUCGCCAACUGUUACAGAAAUAGGUGUUGAGCACAUAUCAGGAUUAUUAGUGUAAAUAUGAUCAAUACAUUUUGAUGUUAAAGAUCCUGUAUUGUUACUAGAAACUCUUGUUGGUUGAUCCAUUAAUUGAGGUAAACCACAGGUGUCUGUCAUGGUUUUAAUCUUACUCUUCAGAGGACAAAUAUCAGACAGCCAAUCAAUAUUUAGAUCACCCAGCCAGUAUAGCUCUCUGUUUUCCUCAGUCACCUUAUCUAGCAUAUUACAUAAACCAUUUCCAUACUCUAUCCUGGCACUAGGUGGCCUAUAACAACAACCAAGAAUAAUCGGUUUUACGUGUGGAAGAUGUACCUGUAACCAUAACACUUCAAUAUCAUCAACCAUUAAGUCGUGUCUCAAUUUAACAGGGAAAUGAUCCCGUAUAUAAAUGGCCACACCACCUCCAAACCGGUUUCGAUCUUUUCUAUAAAUUGAAAAUCCCCCUAUAUCCACAUCUGAAUUGUCUAUGAAGUGAUCCAGAUGAGUUUCAGAAAUCAUAAGUAUGUCUAUUUUGUUUUGUUCAAAAAAUAAAAACAGGUCCUGAAUUUUGUUCCUUAGACUACAUAUAUUUAUAUGCGCAAGUAUUAAACCUUUAGGUAGUUUAUUUAUACUGGUCAUCUUUGUUGAAAGUAAAUGAGUCCUAUACUAUAAUCUAGUUGAAUAUCUUAUACACAGAAUUAUUUUAUUUUCAUCAAGUAGGCUACAAACAUAAGUCCUGCACACAUGCAUGUACACACACAUAUAUAAAAUUGAGCUUUAAUGAUCACUAGGUCGAUAACUGACUUUGUCCAUCCCUUGGGGUAAUGAUCAGUUUAUCAUACUUCAAACUCGCUUUAUCCCCUCUCUCUCUCGCAGCUUUCACCAUCGGCCAAAACUUUUUCCUCCUCAGCUACACAGCUUCCGAGAAAUCUUCGUUAAUGUAGAUCUUAGUGCCCUUUAAUUUCUUGGCAGAAGAAAGAAUCAACUCUCUAUCUUUAAUACGAAGAAGUUUAACAACAAUUUUCCUUGGCCUUCCCCUCUCCUGAAACUGACCAAGUCUCUGAGCACGCUUAAUGUCAAUAUUCGUUCUAUCCAAUCCCAAGUUUUUUGAAAACAUUUCUCGCACCUUUUUCUCUGAUUCACACCAAUUCUCUCCUUUCUCGUCACCAAUGCCGUCGAUUAAAAUAUUUGUUCUCCUGCUCUGGUUUUCAAUGUAUUCCAGCUUUUUGAACAUGGCGUCCAAUUCCUGCCUGGAAGUAGUGAUGUUUGUCUCAAAUGCCCUUAUCUUUGACUCAAUCUCAGUGCAUCCCAUCUUCUCCUCAAACUUUGAUUGGGUAAAUUCCAAGCUGGUCUUCAGCUCCUGUACAUCUCUGAUCACACCAUCCAAUCUUUUGUUAGUUCCAUCCAUGAUCAGCUGAAUGAAACAUUUGAAGUUAUAUUGCUGCUGCAAUAACAUAUCCUUAUAGAUACCUCUCUGCUGUUCCAUUAACUGGGAGAGUACACUCAUUGUAACAACAGCGUCCUCCUCACAAGGAGAUGUUUUAGCAUUUUUAGGAGGCAUAAUGUGUCUUACCAGGAUGUACCGGGAGUAGAUGAAAGUUGCAAAUGUUGAUGGUGACAGAUCUGUUUGUCAAGGUCCUGGUAGGCCCAAAAAGCCCAUCAACUUGGGCUACACCACAAGCUCAGCGGAUUGUGGAAGUAUUGUCCCCAAUAUUGAGACCCAAUUUAAGUAAAAUGUAACUUGAGUCAAUCAACCACUGAAUUUGAGAAUACCAGAAAGGAUUCAGUAGAUUUUUGUUAGAUUCUAAGAGGCAAGGUUCUCAAAGAACACUCCUGGCAGCCAUUUUGAAUUUAAAAAAAAAAGGGACGCCUUAUAAACACUCGGCUACACGUUUUACCCGUGGCCUUGCUUCUGCCCAGAUAAACCGGGAUAUGUUUGCCCCAUGAUGUAAAGUGGGAUUGAGGGAUUCUGACUGGUAGUAAUAAAAAGAGGUAGAGCAGCUUUGACAGUACAUUCAUUUUUACCACCUCAAUUAUUGAACUAAAAUCCAAUACUAGUGUUACCAUUUUGUUAUAUCUUUCUGUAUCCUGUCAUUUCUUGUAUUGUAGUUUGGUUCAUAUAUUUUAUUUAUUUAUCGAGUAAGUGACACACCCAGGUAUUUUAUUGAUUUUGUAUGCCACUCCAGUUUAUAUGUCUGCCUGAAAGACCGCGAACAAAAUUGGAAGCCCGGUUGGGGACACCUGGAAGGAUUCAGCCAAACGACUUCUGUCGUUCUGGUAGAUUUAUUUGUCAGAUCACAGGUCAAGUAUAAGCUCUGCAUUUGCAAAGGCUGGAGCAGUUCUGUCGGCCUGCAGGCCGGAAGAACAACUGACUAACAUCAGGAAAAACUCGCCUUCAACUCCUCUCCGCGAUCACCAACUUUCGGCCAGUCCGCAGACAGACGAGAAGAAGCUGCUGAAUGCUCUCAGUGGAUCGUCUCGUCACUCCAACAACAAACUGCCGAUAUCAACGAGCGGUUCGCUCCAUUGGAGCGUUCGGGACUCUCCGGGUUUCUGUCCAUAGAGGAGAGGAUGGCGGCUCUGAAGGAACCGACUCAAAGAAGAGGAGACGGGCGCACAAUCCCAAGAUAGCGGAAGCGGUGUGCCGUCUUCACAACUCCGAGACAAAUUACAGGCGCAACGAACCGGAGAAAGGGUAAGAUUUAAAGAAUAUGCUUUCAUUCUGCGCUAUAAGGAAAUAUACACGUAUAGAUACCAUAAGAUGGAUACUGAUCAUAACUGUACAUUUUGUUUUCACAGACUAAUCUCGCCUCAUGAGUCGGUGACCUCGUAUUUGCUCCGGGAAAAGUCCAGAUUUAGACGACGUCAUUGUGUGUAAGUGACACUGUUUACGGUUUCUCCUUCCUUGUUAAAUGUUACUGUGAGAUUUUUUUUUUAUUCAUACCACACUCAUUUAAUUGUUUUCCAGUCGCCUGUGAGACGUAUUUUGAAACGGUACGCAGGAGCUUCAGGUUCAGCCGGAACACUCAUUGCGGGCGGAAGCUGCGAAGGAUUCAGUGGGGAGUCGAGCGAGAAGAAAGAGGGUCAGAGUUUAUUUGCUGACUUGUUUUCAGGUGCAUUGAUAGAUGUGUUGUGUCCAUACGCAUCGCACAGUACUGAUUCAUUGUUGUUUUUACAG